CAGAGCUGAGUUGGGCUGCGGGAGCUGGAGCCCGAGGUGAAUGGGCAGGGGCCCCGCGACGCCGGGGGCUGUGAGCCGGCCAUCGAGCUUGCGGGUCAAACCUGGAUGUCCGCGCCACACCGGCGCCCUCCGACCAGAUUCCUGAUGGGCGGGCGGCGGCGGACACCGAGAGUAAGAGAUCAGACCUUUCGGGAAAAGGAACCAAAUUGUGGAAAGCUCUCCGUGGGCUAAAUUCUUCCUGCAAACCGGGAGCGGACUCCCGCGGCCGGACGCCGUCGGAGGGGCCAGCCCACAUUGCGCGGUCCCGAGGAGCACGUUCCGGGAACGCCGCGCCAUGCGCUGUGCGGUACUCGGACAUGAAGUGGUGAGCCCCCGGGGUCUGCGCGCCCGACGACGAAAGCAGGCUGCUCUGCCGGCUCAGGCUUGACACCUACCUCGGCUACCUGCCCGUCCAAGUUAACCGUGUAGUCUCGAGGCCGGUACCUCUUCUUCUUUUUGCUGUCCGAGCCGCCGGAGGAGGCAGCGUCACUGUCCGCCUUGGAGGAGUCCGG